rnacentral:lncRNA from 1 species
CUCAAAGGGAAGCAAGGAAGUGAAUACACAGUGGUAGGAACUUUGGUGCCCUUUGGACUCAUCACUAGGUGGCAGGACCAACACAAGGGUAAAAGUGCAAAGAGAGAAGUAGUGAGCAAACCUGCUGCCUCUUCUUCCUCCCACCAGCUUUUUUUUUUUUCCUUUUCUAGGGCCACUCCCAGGCAUUUGGAGAUUCCCAGGCUAGGGAUCUACCAGCUUUCUAUACAGGGGUGAGGAGUGGCUCUUGGGCCAACUCUAGCUUGUGGCCCAUUUUUGUGUAUGAAAUCUUAUUGGACCAUCAUACCCAUUAGUUUACAAAUUGUCUGUGGCUGCUUUUUCAUUACAUUGCAGUUGAGUAGUUGUGGUAGGUAUAAUACAAACUGCCAAAUAUAAAACAUUUACUCUCUUGCCUUUUAAAGAAAAAGUUUGCUGAUCUCUUCUUUAGACUAGUGGUUCUCAAAGUUUGGCUUGCAUUUCCAGGUGAUGCUAAUGCUGCUGGUCUGGGGACCAGACUUUGAGAACCACUUCUUUCAUUUAAGACCUCAGGAUACCCACACCUGGAUCAAAGCAAAAACUGCCUUAGCUACAAAUUCCAGGGAUGAUUUCAGGUUCUGUCUCUACCUCAGCUUGAACUAUCAUCACUCUUGUGAAACUUCAUUUCAUCCAAUGGCCUUUCUCCUUGGUUCUUUCCCUCUGUACAGAUCUUUAAGGUAAAAAAAAUUCAUUAAGAAAUAAACCUGGCAUUCUUCUUACUGUCCUGAGGUGAAAUAUGUUGACAUUUUUGCAUCCAGCUCUUUUUAAGAAUUAGUAACUACUGUCAUCAAUAAUCCUUUUCCCUUUAGUCAUAUCUAUUGACCCCAUUCCCAUACCAUAUCAAAUAAAUAAUUUGAAGCUACAUUUGUGUUCCUUAUUUGAGUGAAAGCUACAAAGGAGAGGGAAACUAUGAUUUUUAUCAGGUACAUAAGUGACUACAUAUAUCGGCUUGAAGUAGGAUUUAGGGAGAAGUUGAAAUUGGAUGUAAUAGAAGGGGUGGUUACUUUUGCCAUCUUGAUGUGUUAGGCCUUUAUAAGAUUGUUUCAUUAUUUUGUUAGAAGUGCUAUGACUUAAUUACUAGAGUAAGAGACAGGACCAUAUAUAAAUAUAGGUGAAAGCAGGUUCAGUGAUAAAAGCUUUUGUAAUAUCCAUCAUUCAGAACUAUCCAUGUGGCUGCUCCCUUCUGUGCUUAUAGUAAUGUAAAUGUGACUGCCUCUGGGUUUAGCAUGAAAGAAAGUUGAUAUCAUUUAAUUUUGAACUUUAAGUUCAUAAAAAGCAGAGCUAUAUUUAUUUUGUUAGUACUAGUAGAGUACUAUAUCCAUCCAAUUGUUUAAUAAUAUAUGCAAUUAUAUUCCUUCCCCCCAGUCUGAUAUUUUGCUUCUCAGGGUUGGUGGCUGAUGGGAGAAACUACCAAGGGAUAAGGAGGGUUUAUAAGUCAAUUUAUUUCUUCCUCCAUCUGCUUUGAAAACAGUGAAAUUGGUAGUGGGGAAAUAUGAAUAACGCAUCAACCAGUUUUUAAAAAAUAUGAAACUCUGGCUCUGAUUAACUCAUCAUUCAACUUUUAAAAAACAUGGAAAUUAAUGGACUAUUUAACUAAAGAGUAAGGAAAACAACUACCCAAUCUAUAAACUGCUCAGCCAGAAGGAAGUCUUACCAGCCUCACAUUAAAUAUGAAAUGUGCUAGUACUGGUUAUAUCCAUUUAUCAUAGAUUUUAUGCCUCAAAUGUAUUCAUAAUGGAUUACAAUGCUGAUGUUCAUUCCUCACAUGUUUAUAUAUUUAAUAUUGUUCCCUCAGAAGAUCUGAACAUCGCUAAAGGCAAAGUUAUAUUUUUCCUUGAUGAUAAUAAAAUAAUAAAGUGUUACAAAUAAGGAAUUUAUGGCUGAAGUUGCCCUGUAUUUCAUGUUGCAGAAAUAAUGCUCUUGCUUACCUGACUUAGUGCCUUCUUUCAGCAUCAUUAUUCAUUUGUCUUGGGACCUGGUGCUAAAAGGUCAUCUUUUCAAACUUGGCUCUUUCAGUUCUUGACAACUCAAGAUAAUAUAUGUUUAGAAAAACAAAUACCCUUAAGAAUACCUUACAAAACCCAAAUGUCUCUAAUUGCUCUCUUUGUUUGCUGCCAAAUGGAUAAUAAUAUCACUAAUAUAAAAUGACAGAGCUGUUUCCAUUUAAAAGAGCAUUAGCACAGCUAUCCAAUGGCAUUAAGAGGUUAGAAUGGUUACACCGAUGAUACACCAAUGACACAUGGGAGGGAGGUAGUCCCUUGAAAGGGGCAUGAAGAGCCUCUUGAGGUGCUGGGAAUGUUCUCUUUCUCAAUCCAAGUGCUUGUUUCAUGAAUGUGUUUAUUUUGUGAAAAUUCAUUGAGCUGUAGACUUACAAUUUGGGUCCUUGAUGGGUGGUAAACUUUACAAGAAUGUUUAUUAAAUAGAAAAAAUGCAAUAGAUUAGGGUGAUUUAGGAAAUCAAUUCUGGGGAGUUCCUGUUGUGGCGCAGCAGAAACAAACCUGACUAGUAUCCAUGAGGAUGUGGGUUUGAUCCCUGGCCUUGCUCAGUGGGUUAUAGAGCUGGCAUUGCCAUGAGCUGUGGUAUAGGUCACAGACACAGCUUGGAUCCUGUGUUGCUGUGGUGUAGAUUGGCAACUAUAGCUCCGAUUUGACCCCUAGCCUGGGAACUUCCAUAUGCCCUGUGUGUGGCCCUAAAAAGCCAAAAAAAAAAAAAUUCUGUUUUUUAUUAUAGUUGAAAUUUAUAUGUCUAAAGUCUAAAAAUCCUAUGCACAACAUAGUUAUUUUUUUAAUUUAGAAAAUAUGCAGAGUUCCCGUCAUGAUGCAGUGGAAAUGAAUUCAACUAGGAACCAUGAGGUUGCGGGUUCCAUCCCUGGCCUUGCUCAGUGGGGUAAGGAUCUGGCGUUGCCCUGAGCUGUGAUGUAGGUUGCAGAUGUGGCUGUGGUGUAGACCGGCAGCUGUAGCUCCGAUUAGACCCCUAGCCUGGGAACUUCCAUAUGCUGCAUGGGUGUGGCC